rnacentral:misc_RNA from 1 species
GUUUCCAAUUUACAUACAGAUUCUGUUUGUUUCACUUUCUCUAUGUGGGUUCAUUGAUUAUCAUUGGGUACUGUGGUGGAUUCAUUUCAACGGUAUGAACAGUGAUGAACGUGAUGGCAACCUCGUCUUUGCCAAACUGAAUAAUGAUUGAUACAUUUAUCAUCAUCAUCAUCAUUAAUUUUCUUUUUUACUUCUCUCUCA